AUUUUUUUUCUAUUUAUUUUACAGUCUAUUUUCAUAUUUUCUAUUAUAUUUUCUAUAUUCUUCUAUUUUCUUUUUUUUUUUCAUUUUUUCUAUGCUUUUCCAAUUUUCUUUUUUCC
rnacentral:lncRNA from 1 species